rnacentral:sRNA from 1 species
GAGCCCCUAAUGAAACCUCUGAGUGAUUGAGCCCCUAAUGAAACCUCUGAAUGAUUGAGUCCCUAAUGAAACCCCUGCAUGAUUGAGCCCCUAAUGAAACCCCUGCAUGAUCGAGCCCCUAAUGAAACCCCUGCGUGAUUGAGCCCCUAAUGAAACCCCUGAGUGAUUGAGCCCCUAAUGAAACCUCUGAGUGAUUGAGCCCCUAAUGAAACCUCUGAGUGAUUGAGUCCCUAAUGGAACCCCUGCAUGAUUGAGCUCCUAAUGAAACCCCUGCAUGAUUGAGCCCCUAAUGAAACCUCUGAGUGAUUGAGCCCUUAAUGAAACCUCUGAGUGAUUGAGUCCCUAAUGGAACCUCUGAGUGAUUGAGCUCCUAAUGAAACCCCUGCAUGAUUGAGCCCCUAAUGAAACCUCUGAGUGAUUGAGCCCCUAAUGAAACCUCUGAGUGAUUGAGUCCCUAAUGGAACCUCUGAGUGAUUGAGCCCCUAAUGAAACCUCUGAGUGAUUGAGUCCCUAAUGGAACCUCUGAGUGAUUGAGCCCCUAAUGAAACCUCUGAGUGAUUGAGUCCCUAAUGGAACCCCUGCAUGAUUGAGCUCCUAAUGAAACCCCUGCAUGAUUGAGCCCCUAAUGAAACCUCUGAGUGAUUGAGCCCCUAAUGAAACCCCUGCAUGAUUGAGCUCCUAAUGAAACCCCUGCAUGAUUGAGCCCCUAAUGAAACCUCUGAGUGAUUGAGCCCCUAAUGAAACCUCUGAGUGAUUGAGUCCCUAAUGGAACCUCUGAGUGAUUGAGCCCCUAAUU